rnacentral:tRNA from 1 species
UGGGGUGGUAGUUCAGCUGGUUAGAACGCCUGCCUGUCACGCAGGAGGUCGACGGUUCGAGUCCGUUCCAUCCCGA